AAAUAGAUUGUACCUAAUAAUACUGUAUGAAUAUGGGACCCUAAUUAAAUGAGCGGAUAUACGCAUUCAUACAUUAUUUACAGACAAAUAAUUUCAGUUUA